rnacentral:rRNA from 1 species
AACGAACGCUGGCGGCAAGCUUAACACAUGCAAGUCGAACGGACCGUACGCGCAGCUUGCUGCGUGUAUGGUUAGUGGCAGACGGGUGAGUAAUGCAUAGGAAUCUGCCUAGUAGUAUAGGAUAGCCACUAGAAAUGGUGGGUAAUACUGUAUAAUCCCUGCGGGGGAAAGAUUUAUCGCUACUAGAUGAGCCUAUGUCAGAUUAGCUAGUUGGUGGGGUAAUGGCCCACCAAGGCUGUGAUCUGUAGCUGGUCUGAGAGGAUGAUCAGCCACACUGGAACUGAGACACGGUCCAGACUCCUACGGGAGGCAGCAGUGGGGAAUAUUGGACAAUGGGCGCAAGCCUGAUCCAGCUAUGCCGCGUGAGUGAGGAAGGCCUUAGGGUUGUAAAACUCUUUCAGUAGGGAAGAUAAUGACGGUACCUACAGAAGAAGUCC